UGGGGAAUCUUGGACAAUGGGCGCAAGCCUGAUCCAGCCAUGCCGCGUGUGUGAUGAAGGCCUUAGGGUCGUAAAGCACUUUCGCCAGAGAUGAUAAUGACAGUAUCUGGUAAAGAAACCCCGGCUAACUCCGUGCCAGCAGCCGCGGUAAUACGGAGGGGGUUAGCGUUGUUCGGAAUUACUGGGCGUAAAGCGCACGUAGGCGGACUAGUCAGUCAGAGGUGAAAUCCCAGGGCUCAACCCUGGAACUGCCUUUGAUACUGCUAGUCUUGAGUUCGAGAGAGGUGAGUGGAAUUCCGAGUGUAGAGGUGAAAUUCGUAGAUAUUCGGAGGAACACCAGUGGCGAAGGCGGCUCACUGGCUCGAUACUGACGCUGAGGUGCGAAAGUGUGGGGAGCAAACA
rnacentral:rRNA from 1 species